rnacentral:sRNA from 1 species
UCCUCUACAACCGCACAAAAAAGGUUCUAAAAAAUAUAUAAUAUUUACCUUAAUUGGCGAGUCUUAGA